UACUAUCAGCCCUGCAUUAGUAUAAAAUGGCUCUUGCAGUGUUUUAGGAAGGAACCCUUCAUAUCCUUUCCAAUGACAAUAACAAGGUUUGUCUUUGAAACUGGCUAACCCUCACCAUCUUGACCAAAUGAAAAAUAAGAGGGACACUCUGUUCACACAUUGUCUUUUGUACUUGCAGAGACUUCUUACAGAUGGCUGCCCUCUGGAAUGAAAAUGCACACCAACCACCGGCAAACAUCAAAAGCUAAUCCAACAUUUGGUCUUCGGAAACCCUGUGACUAAUGCAAUGUUGGUGCCCUAGAAGACAAGUCAGCGCAGUUCAGACGAGCCAGCCAGAGGAGGUCACCGCCAGCCUUGUAUCGAGGUUCCAACGUCCUUCAUCGGGGAACUCGGCAUGGAUAUGCAAGACAACACUCGAAUCACUGUUGGACAAAUGCCUGAAACGGCUGGAAAAAUAGAAAAGAUGGUUACAGAGACUGUUAUUGCUGUUCUUCUUUCAAUACAAUAUUUGCCUUCCAUAAAAUAUUCCCAUGUUCCAA